AGAACCAAGAAUCAGGUCAGAGCGGGGUGAGGGGACAGAAAAAUAGAAGCAGAUUUGCAUGGAGGCCCCUCCCUCCUCUGAGGCAGGAUGACAGAAUAAGAAAGGUCCGGAGAGCCAGGUCCAGGUUGGGGGCUCAGAAGGCAACGUUCUUGGGGGAUCUCCACCAUGGCCUGGACUCUGCUCCUCCUCACCCUCCUCACUCAGGGUUCAGGUUCCUGGGCCCAGGCUCCCCUGACUCAGCCUCCCUCAGUGUCCAGGUCUCCUGGACAGACUGUCACCAUCUCCUGUGCUGGAAGCAGCAAUGAUGUUGGGUAUACUAGUGAUAUCUCCUGGUACCAACAACAACCGGGCACAGCCCCCAAACUCCUGAUAUAUUAUACCAGCAAUCGGCCCUCGGGGAUCCCUAAUCGCUUCUCUGGCUCCAAGUCUGGUAACACAGCCUCCCUGACCAUCUCUGGGCUCCAGGCUGAGGACGAGGCUGAUUAUUACUGUAGUUCAUAUACAAGGACUAGCACUCUCCACAGUGGUGCGAGUUCAUGGGGAAGUGAGACAAAAACCUUCCCUGUGUUAACAGGCUCCCUCUUGGCCCUGAAGAUGCUUCCUCAUCCCUACACAGGGGGCUCAUGCAGCAUGGCUUGCACAAUUCUACUUCUACCUAUUUCUGCCUCCUCUCCCAAAGCUUUGAAAAUAUAGGGCUCUUGUUUGUUUUUUUUU